UACGGGGGGGGUAAGCGUUGUUCGGAAUUACUGGGCGUAAAGGGCGCGUAGGCGGCCACCGCAAGUCGACUGUGAAAUCUCCGGGCUUAACCCGGAAAGGUCAGCCGAUACUGCGGGGCUAGAGUGCAGAAGGGGCAACUGGAAUUCUUGGUGUAGCAGUGAAAUGCGUAGAUAUCAAGAGGAACACCAGUGGCGAAGGCGAGUCCCUGGACAAACCCUGACACUGAGGCACGAAAGCCAAGGGAGCAAACAGG
rnacentral:rRNA from 1 species